CACGAACGCUGGCGGCAGGCUUAACACAUGCAAGUCGAGCGCCCCGCAAGGGGAGCGGCAGACGGGUGAGUAACGCGUGGGAAUCUACCCAUCUCUACGGAAUAACGCAUGGAAACGAGUGCUAAUACCGCAUCUGCCCUUCGGGGGAAAGAUUUAUUGCCUUUGGAUUAGUCCGCGUUGGACUAGGUAGUUGGUGGGGUAAUUGACUACCCAGCCGACGAUCCAUAGCUGGUUUGAGAGGAUGAUCAGCAACACUGGGACUGAGACACGGCCCAGACUCCUACGGGAGGCAGCAGUGGGGAAUCUUAGACAAUGGGGGAACCCUGAUCUAGCCAUGCCGCGUGGACGAUGAAGGCCUUAGGGUUGUAAAGUCCUUUCAGCUGGGAAGAUAAUGACGGUACCAGCAGAAGAAGCCCCGGCUAACUCCGUGCCAGCCGCCGCCGUAAGAC
rnacentral:rRNA from 1 species